rnacentral:rRNA from 1 species
CUCGCCUAUAUGAAGUCGGAAUUGCUAGUAAUCGCGGAUCAGCAUGCCGCGGUGAAUACGUUCCCGGGCCUUGUACACACCGCCCGUCACACCAUGAGAGUCGAUAACACCCGAAGCCUGUAGUCUAACCUUAGGGGGGACGCAGUCGAAGGUGGGAUUGAUAAUUAGGGUGAAGUCGUAACAAGGUAAC